UACGUAGGGUGCGAGCGUUAAUCGGAAUUACUGGGCGUAAAGCGUGCGCAGGCGGUUUGCUAAGACAGGUGUGAAAGCCCCGGGCUUAACCUGGGAAUUGCGCUUGUGACUGGCAGACUGGAGUGUGGCAGAGGGAGGUGGAAUUCCACGUGUAGCAGUGAAAUGCGUAGAGAUCAUGAGGAAGACCAGUGGCGAAGGCGGGUCUCUGGACAGUUCCUGACACUGAGACACGAAGGCCAGGGGAGCAAACGGG
rnacentral:rRNA from 1 species